CUCGGCCGCGCGACCCGCCGCCGGCGCCCGCGGGUCAAACACAAACACCACCCCGCGGUUCCGGGACGCGGCUGCCACGGCCCAGGGUCGCAGAGAACAGAGCCGGCCCCGACUUCCCUCCCGGGAUGUCGCAGGCGCGGUGGCCUUUCGCGGUAAUAGCUGCUCACUAGGAUCCGCCGCUACCUCGCCCCCUUUCCUAGUUGGCGCCAAACGGAAUCCACCAAUCAGCUUCCAGGCCGCAUUUUCUUGAGGGAGGGAACUGAAUGACUCCCAGGACUGAACUUCCGAUCACCGGGGGCCCAACUCUGGAGCGUUAACAGCCCCUGCGUGCUGUGCCGGCCACACUGAACUUGAACCCUGCAAUAUGGCUUGUGUUGUGGGCUUCAGUAUUCUUUGCUCACUUCCAUCGUAGCUCUUACUGUAUGCUCUUUGAAUAAUAUCCUUCUUUUUCGCUCUUUCUUACACUACUGAAAGCUCCUAGAGAGCAAUACUAAUAAAUAAAAUAAUAGCUAAA